UCACAUAAUAUAUCAUUACUUCAUACUGUAUCAUAGGAUGUGCUCCUGAAUUAGACUCUACACACCCCUAUGGUAAGGGCAGGGAGGUGGCCAUGCUACAUGGGGCCCUGAGGUGGAGGCUGGGGUAGGGGUCAGGGAGGGCUUCCAGGAGGAGCUAAUAAGCCUUCCAGAAUGAGCAGGACUUAGCCAGACAGACAGGGUAGAAGGGCAUUCCAGGCAGAAGGGAAGGCAUGAGCACAGAAGCCAAAAAUAGCCCCUCUGGGCGAGGAGUUCCGCGUUGAUGGGAGUGACCGGCUAGAGCCAGGUCACAUUGGGGGAGGGGCAGGUGCCCUGUAAGGGAGUCUGGCCUCUACCCUUGGCCUGUGGAGAGCCCCUGAGGGGUCCUGAGCAGGGGAGUGAGGCGGUCCCACCUGGCUUUCAGCAGAGCUGCUGGGAGGGGCUCAGAGCUGCCACCUCUGCAACCGAAACCGGGAAGAGAGGAGAAAGGAGUGAAGUACGACGCCUGAGUAAAGCACAGAUGAAACACCCUCCAAAGCGCGAGCCUCAGCUUGUGAGGACCGGCCACCCGGAGCGAUGUGCACGACGGGCUUUUUCCACCGCUGGGGUUGACGACUUUCUGCUGCCCUGCCCACACCGUGCCCUCCCGGGCACCUUCUUUCUGCCCCGUCUCCUCCAGCCCGGGUUUUAUGAAAACAGUCACUUCUAACCAUCUCCCAUUUUAAGAGCUUUGCGAAGAAAAAACAAGUUCAGCAGCGUCCAGGAUACCUAAUUAGGUGGCCUUCAGGCACCUUAGAGGAGGAAGAAAAGUCACAACUGGUGCAAGAAGGGGAAGGGAAGAAACACCAUUAAAAGAAAACAAGGGGAAACCAAAUAAAGAGCAGAGAUAAAGAGUCGGGAGAAAACAGCGGCGCCUGAGAAACACGGAUUCCAGCCGCCAACUUUUACGGCGUCCAGCCCUGUUAUUCAUAAGCGAGUUUCCUCUCUCACAAAGGACCUUUUGCACGGUUUUCCCUGCUGCCUCCAAACCAGCUGCUUGUGCUGUUGUAUCCUGAGUGAUGAUGAGGCUCUGAAAGGGUUUUUUGGGAACAGAUGGCCAGGGGAGAGCUGGGGAAUGUGCCAGCAGAGCGCUGGGCGGGCUGCCAGGGCCCGCGGUGACUGAGCGCUUGGGCUUCCAGCUCGCGUGCUUUCCCUGCCCUCUGCCCUCCGUGGCGCCAGCAGGCCUUCCCAGCGAGCGCUCGGAACAUCUGGAGUCUGGGGCUGCCAGGAGGGGGGGCCGCGGCGGCCGGGCGGGGGACCCUCUGUUCCAGCGGAGCUCCCAGGGCCUCGCCACCAGGCCCGCCUUGUGGAACAGCUAAUCAAAACCACAGCGCCCGAAUGGGAACCAGGCGUGCUCCCAGCUGCAGCCAGAGGCCGCCAGGGCGACUUAACCCGGUGUCAGGCCUCGCUGGCGGCGGCACUGGGGGCGGGGGGCUGCUGACACCCCCACCCCGACCGGCCCGGCCCACCCCUUGCCACCCCCAGCGGUCUGUGGGCUCCCCGCGGCUAAAUGGAGCCUGCAAGCGCCGCAGUCCGGCUGCUUACAUAAGAGCUGCUGCUCCUGACAAGGCCCUGCACCCGCAUUUGCUGGGGGUCCCCGGGUGCAGGCCACCCUGCUGGGCGAUACGUGAGCUUCAGGGCCCGGGCGCAGCUGAAGAGCUCGGAGUUUGGAACCAAAGAGACACGUGCUCAAAUCAGCUCCACCACUUCCUCGCUGCAUGGCCUUGGGCAAGUGACUGCCCUUCUCUUGGCUUCAGCUUCCCCUCCGUGCAAUGGGGAAGUGGUGCUAACUUGUGGGGUUAGCAUAAAGGGCAGAGAUAAAGUACGGGAGGUGCUCGGCACGCAGUGGGCACUCCCCACUCGGUCAGCGCGACUGUCGGCCGGAGUCCGUUUAUCAGCAUUAUUACCACGUACAACCACACGUUAUGCAUGUUCUUUGGUAUGAAUCCGCGAACUUUGAAAGCCCAGGGAUUUCUGGGCUGGCUAGGUGCUCUCCCUCCUUUAAGGAUGCAGGGCCAGGGGGUUUGCCCUGAAUGCUGGACAAACAGGAGUCCCCCAUUCAGAACUAUUUGCCCUUAUCUGCCUUUUGUCUGGUCGUUCAUCCAUUCCAGGCACUGCCCUUUCCUGAGAUGACCCUUCCAGGGAUUCCAUAUGAAGUUGUUACCUUGCGACUGUAAAUUCAUGAGAUUUCCCUUCUGGCACUGAGAAAAGGCCAGCCCUUUCUCAUAAUGGAUCUCCUUUCAUCCUUCCAGCAAGGUGGCGAGGAAGGUUUAUAAGCUGACACUUGACACACGAGAGAACGGGGGAUCAGAGAAGUUAGGGAACACACCCAAGGUCACAUGGGUAGGAAGUACCAGUGCCAUGAUUCAAACCCAGGUCUCCAGCGCCAAAGCCUACACUUCCCCUACUUCAUGGUCUUGCCAGGGUCAUACCCUGUUGUAUGUGCCUUAAAGUUAAAUGACAGCACCAGAGAGAACUGAAAGGAACUGUAGGGUUCUCUCAACUCAACACCCACCUACAGCAUCCUGGACCACCGAGACUCUGAAGGGGUUUUCAAAGGGGCACCCUGGCUCGAAGAGGUGCCCUGCAGGUUAGAGCAUCCGAGGGGACUUUUCCCAUCUCUGACUUUCUGAGCAUGAGAGGUGGGUUCUUUCUCACUGUCCGAGACCCCAACGUUUCAUUCAUACACAGCGUGGUGGGGAGAAGGGUGGGGUCUGUGAGUGUGUGUCAGGAGGGGAGAAGAGGAGGAGAAUGUGAAGACGGUGUGAAAGGAGAGGGGAAAGCAGCGGCCCAGUCUCUCCCCCACCUCGGGACCACCCGGGGAACAGCAGAGGGCCAAGUUCUGAGUUCCAAGGAAGCCAGCUCCAAGCUAACCUGGGGGGCUCCCCAGCCCACGACCCCUCCAUCCCAGUCCCUGCCAGCCGUGUAGACUAACGGUGUCAACUGUGAGAGGAGAAACGGCAGCUGAGAGAACACUCCGUGUGAGAACAAACAGCUGGCCACAAACGUCUAUGUAAUUGGAAUGCCAGAAAAAAUAAAUUGCAUCCAUUUUUAUGACGAGAAGGGAAUUUGAUGGUGGUUUCCCACCCACCCCCCUUCUUUCCCAGCAUAGACGGACUCCACGGGUUUUGAAAGCACAUGGUAUUUAACUCAGUAACAUGGCUUGGAGGAUGUGGAGACAGGACCUCCUCUCACCACACCAUUUCCAUGUGGGGGGGGGGUUGGGGGCGG